rnacentral:rRNA from 1 species
AUUGAACGCUGGCGGCAUGCCUUACACAUGCAAGUCGAACGGCAGCGGACCUUCGGGUGCCGGCGAGUGGCGAACGGGUGAGUAAUAUAUCGGAACGUACCUUUCAGUGGGGGAUAACGUAGCGAAAGUUACGCUAAUACCGCAUAUUCUGUGAGCAGGAAAGCAGGGGAUCGCUUAAGACCUUGCGCUGAUUGAGCGGCCGAUAUCAGAUUAGCUAGUUGGUGAGGUAAAGGCUCACCAAGGCGACGAUCUGUAGCGGGUCUGAGAGGAUGAUCCGCCACACUGGAACUGAGACACGGUCCAGACUCCUACGGGAGGCAGCAGUGGGGAAUUUUGGACAAUGGGCGCAAGCCUGAUCCAGCCAUGCCGCGUGAGUGAAGAAGGCCUUCGG